rnacentral:rRNA from 1 species
UGCUAAUACCGCAUACGAUCUACGGAUGAAAGCAGGGGACCGCAAGGCCUUGCGCGAAUGGAGCGGCCGAUGGCAGAUUAGGUAGUUGGUGAGGUAAAGGCUCACCAAGCCUUCGAUCUGUAGCUGGUCUGAGAGGACGACCAGCCACACUGGGACUGAGACACGGCCCAGACUCCUACGGGAGGCAGCAGUGGGGAAUUUUGGACAAUGGGCGCAAGCCUGAUCCAGCCAUGCCGCGUGCAGGAUGAAGGCCUUCGGGUUGUAAACUGCUUUUGUACGGAACGAAACGGCCUUUUCUAAUAAAGAGGGCUAAUGACGGUACCGUAAGAAUAAGCACCGGCUAACUACGUGCCAGCAGCCGCGGUAAUACGUAGGGUGCAAGCGUUAAUCGGAAUUACUGGGCGUAAAGCGUGCGCAGGCGGUGAUGUAAGACAGUUGUGAAAUCCCCGGGCUCAACCUGGGAACUGCAUCUGUGACUGCAUCGCUGGAGUACGGCAGAGGGGGAUGGAAUUCCGCGUGUAGCAGUGAAAUGCGU